CCGUGCUAGGUGGGGAGGUAGCGGUGCCCUGUAACUCGCAAUCCGCUCUAGCGAGACUGAAUCCCUUUUCUGAGGCUGACCGCAUGUAGGGUCUGACUCUUGCACGUAGCGUUGACGGUUGGGUCCUGCGCAAUGGGUACCCAUGAACCAUGUCAGGUCCGGAAGGAAGCAGCAUUAAGUGGUCUCACCCAUGUGCCGUGGGGUAGCCUGACCCGAGCUGGCGACAGGAGUAACGCUUAUGUGCGGCAGUCGAAGGAAGGUGCACGG
rfam:Lysinibacillus manganicus DSM 26584 contig33, whole genome shotgun sequence.